AUUCUGUUAUAACCAUAAACAAAAGUUUUAAUUUACUGAGUUUUAAUUACUGAUGUAUUUUUUACUGACUAGUCCAUAAACUUCCUGAGAAUAGAAACUAUUUUUAUUCCCUAACUUCUAUUUAAACACUCAGCACACUACCUGACACAGAGGUUACUAGUUGACAAAUUAUUAACUUUUAUAUUAGGAAAAAAAGCUUAGAAUGCAAGCAAAGCAUAACACAUAAAUAUAUGCCUGCUAAACCAUUCCAGCCCAUUAAUUCUUUUGAUUCCACUCAUCUCCAGCAAAUAAAAGCUAAACUCAUAAGGGCUUGUUUUGUAAUGGAUACUUAAUGAAAUACAGUGAUGUGUGAAUGCAACCCUCAUCUUCCAGGUGAGAAAAUCAAUGCUUAAAGAAGCUAAACAACAAAUGAUCUGCCCACCUCGGCCUCGGAAUUGUGAUGGGGAGAGUGUUCCUGCUGCACGGGCGCCCCCAGAUGCACAACGUUCAGCAGAUUGAAGCCUGGGGGUGCUCACGCAUUGGCCAGGGUGGUCUCGAACUGCUGACCUCAGGUGAUCCCCCUGCCUCGGUCUCCCAAAGUGCUUUAGUAGAGACAGGGUUUCACCAUGUUGCCCAGGCUGGUCUCCAACUCCUGACUGCAUGUGAAGAGAGCUCAUUCAUUCAUUCCAGCCCUACACUUUGCAUUGCCUGCUCUACUGGCUCAGAACCCAAAUCCCUCAAAGUGAGG
rnacentral:lncRNA from 1 species